AUGGCCUUGAGGCAGUGGCGGCCCGGUCUGGACAUGGCAGCUGGUCCCCACCCUCACCUGAAGAGUGUGCUUCCUUCUUUCCUGAGCAGCCGCCCUCCACACAGCUCUCAGGAGCAGCUUUGUUUCCCAGCUACCACCAGACCCCAAGCCGACCACCUUCUCUGCCUGGGUUUGAAGCCUGCGCCGCGAGAGUUGCCCGCUUCCGCGCGCCACGCCUCGCCCCAGCCGGGCCGCCUGCGGUCGCCUCCGCGGUCCAGCGUCUACCUGAUUAUAGGGUUGCAAAAUGAGUUGACCAAAUGUGGGAUCUUGAAGAACAUGAGUGACUAUGAAGAUUUUUGGAAGUUGAUUCGGGAGGAAGCCCAUGGAACAGAAAUCAAAGAAAAACUCCAGAAGAUAAAAGUUAAAAUGUUGGAUCCCAGAUACUGGCCUCUGGCAGCUCCUAGAAGAAGAGAAACCAGGUCAUUGGUCAAUGCUGAUCAGGAUAAGUGGCCCUGCCAGGGAAAAUGGAUUCAGACAUCUUCUCUGGAGCCAGUACCCUGUCCAUCUCAAACACAAGAAGAAUUUCAGCAGCUACUUCCCAGGGACCUUCUUUCCCGACUUACUGAGUGGAGGAAGAGGUGCCAACAGCGAGAGACUGCGGCAAGACUACCCCAAGGACAGGGGCGGGUGAGUGUUUAGGGCUUGACAAUUCGACAGUCCUGGAGCUCUGUCUCUAGACAUCUACUUGCUCUCUCUCUUUUGUUUGUUUUUGUGUGUGUUUGUGGUACUAAAGAUCUAACACAGGGCCUUCACACUGAACUAAAUCUCCAAACCCCCCUGUACUUGCCAGGCAGGCACUGUGCCACUGAGCUAUAUCCCCAGCCCCUCCAACCCUUUCUAAAAUUUUAAAAUUUUAUGUUAAGACAUGAUCUUACUAAGUCACUAAGUUGCUGGGUUUGAACU
rnacentral:lncRNA from 1 species